rnacentral:rRNA from 1 species
AGUGAACGCUGGCGGUAGGCCUAACACAUGCAAGUCGAACGGCAGCACAGUAAGAGCUUGCUCUUACGGGUGGCGAGUGGCGGACGGGUGAGGAAUACAUCGGAAUCUACUUUUUCGUGGGGGAUAACGUAGGGAAACUUACGCUAAUACCGCAUACGACCUACGGGGGAAAGCAGGGGAUCUUCGGACCUUGCGCGAUUGAAUGAGCCGAUGUCGGAUUAGCUAGUUGGCGGGGUAAAGGCCCACCAAGGCGACGAUCCGUAGCUGGUCUGAGAGGAUGAUCAGCCACACUGGAACGGAGACCCCGUCCAGACUCCUACGGGAGGCAGCAGUGGGGUAUAUUGGACAAUGGGCGCGAGCCUGAUCCAGCCAUACCGCGUGGGAGAAGAAAGCCUUCGGGUUGUAAAGCCCUUUUGUUGGGAAAGAACAGCAGCAGGUUAAUACCCCGCUGUUCUGACGGUACCCAGAGAAUAAGCACCGGCUAACUUCGUG